rnacentral:rRNA from 1 species
AACGAACGCUGGCGGCAUGCCUAACACAUGCAAGUCGAACGAGACCUUCGGGUCUAGUGGCGCACGGGUGCGUAACGCGUGGGAACCUGCCUUUAGGUUCGGAAUAACUCAGAGAAAUUUGAGCUAAUACCGGAUGAUGUCUUCGGACCAAAGAUUUAUCGCCUUUAGAUGGGCCCGCGUUGGAUUAGCUAGUUGGUGGGGUAAAGGCCUACCAAGGCGACGAUCCAUAGCUGGUCUGAGAGGAUGAUCAGCCACACUGGGACUGAGACACGGCCCAGACUCCUACGGGAGGCAGCUGUGGGGAAUAUUGGACAAUGGGCGAAAGCCUGAUCCAGCAAUGCCGCGUGAGUGAUGAAGGCCUUAGGGUUGUAAAGCUCUUUUACCCGAGAUGAUAAUGACAGUAUCGGGAGAAUAAGCUCCGGCUAACUCCGUG